UUUUUCUUUACUAUUUUUUUAAAUUGCAUACCAGACUACACUAACGAGUUCGGGCCUUUACCUGAAGUACAGCUAAAAAAAGUUUUUAAAUGGAUAUUCCUCCCGUUCCGCGAUACCAAAAUAAAGGUUUUGCUGAUUUAUUUAACAUUUUCGCCGCCUGGUAGCUCUCUGAAGGAGUAGCCAAAAACACUGUGGAGAAACAUGAAGGCAGCACGAGGCUGUGGAAUCGCUGGAGGCGUUGACCAACGGUGCAAGCCAAGCUAGUGUGGAUACAUUAAAUUUACAACCGUACAGGGUCAUGGUUAUUAGGAAGACUGACCUGAUUUCCUGACGUUGGAAGACGCUAAGAUCUGAUGAUGCCUGUAAAGAAGGUGAUGUGGCUGCUGUCCAAGGGGCUGAAGGCUUCCCAGGGUUCGGGACAGGAGGAAGCCCUGGCAGCACUACAUGGAGCAGGGGCAGCUGUCUCUGGUCCUCCACUAACCCCUCCAGGCAACAUGUGAGUACAAAGUCAUGGUUGUUUCACAUACCCUUCAUUCUUUUACCAGGCCCGUCCAUGGAAUACCUGAUAGCUAUAAUUAACCCAAGAUUUCCAAUGCCACCCAUUAAAGAUUUUGAUGUGUGUGUGUGUGUUGCCACUGUCAGGAAGACAGGAAGAUUUCCACCUUUGGCAUGUUGUGUUAUUGAAGCGAUGAAAAUGUCUCAGAUGAUUGGACAGGUCAAGUGCUGCACUACCAAACUACGCACACUCCAUGUGCCGGUAGCAAGAUAAUACAGUACAUACUGAAGUCUUUAUUGAAUGGAAAAUCACACUUUCUCUUGCAGUAAGUACCACUAUCAAGCUGACUUGCUUAAUAUCUCGAUACUUAAUGGUAGGAUAUGUAUACAGCUAGGCAGCUAUCUAGCUUACUUAGCUUGUUGCAGCUGGCUUGAGGUAAUGCUAGUUGGCAUUGUCUGCUACUGUUACGGUCCCCUAAUUGCAAGAGAGGACAGUUGGCUUGCCAACACUCGCAAACUUUCUGUCCACUCUUUGGAACCCCCGUUUAUUAGCUAGGUAAAAUAGCUAAUGUUUGUUAACUACUGUUUCUGUCUUUGUUGCCAGAACACAGGGACAGUAAUCCUUCCAUUUUCCUCAUUUUCCCUAUUCUCAAUUGAAAAGCUACAUUAAGGGGAAUCAAGUUUUAAUUGUAUUUUUGUGUGGGAACAGGAUUAAAAUGUUGCAGUAUGGGGAAAUAUGGGAGAAACCGCAAUGGGAGAUUAGCCUGGGAUAUAGCAGUAAUAUACUGGAGCCGCCUCGCAAGUACAAGAGACUCGGCAGGUUUGCCGACACCUUUAAGUUAAAACAUUUAUGUAAAUAGUUUUAUGUGCAUUAUGUUGGCAAAAAUGUACGUGUUUGUAAGAUUAUAGUCUUGCAUCGUCUGUCCCAGGGUGUAGCUUUUACACAGCUCUGCUGCAAAGCCUUUCCUCUCACAGUCUUAUCGUGGGGUUUCAUCACAUUCAAUAUUGUCAGGGGGAAACCAUUUCUUUCUGAACUGCAGGUUUCCAUUUUUGUUUUCCUUUCGGCUGCGUGCUGAGUAUUGGGCCGCUGAUGAAAUUCAACAUUGAUAGAAUUUUGUCCCUGCAGACAUUUUUUACUUAAGACUCCAUUGCUCCUGCAUCCCUAAUCUUUCCCCUGAUACGUGGCAGUGUUUUGCGAUAUGGUGGCGGCCGCGUUGUCCCUGAGGGAUGGAAGGGAAAAGAGCCCGGAUAAGCAGCAGGGAUGCGGCGGUGGGAAGUUUGUUAAACUAUAAUUAUUUACCCUAUAUAACUUUCCAUGGAUUCCAUUCUAAAGUGCGUCAUCUUUUCCUGAUUUAUGGAGCCUGGACAGGUGAAAGCAAUAGGGCAGAAAACUCACCAUUUGACCAGUGAAAUUACAAAGGAAGGGUUGAAUGAUGUGGCUUGCAGUGUGUGGACUGAACCUUUGUUUAACCUAAGAGUUACAACUGUGUAAAAAGCAAGUGGGGUUUUGCAUGUGGCUGAUGUAAAUGCCUAAACCUACUUUCUAUUUGCAUGUUUAUUUCUAAGACUGAUUGUUCAAGACAAUAAAUGACUGCUGUAUCUUGAAAGGGACAUCUCUGUGUAAAACCAAAAAUGGUAAGAAUGUAUGUUUAUUUCAUAUUUAGUCACAGAUAUUGCUAGUAAGACGUGGUAUAAUUAGAAUUAUUAGAAACAAGAAUUCCUCUAGUUAAUUUUGCUAUUCAUUGAGAAGAAAUUUUCACCGCUAUGUUGGCAUGCCUUAGAGCUAUUGUUGGCUUUAUCUUGUUGCUAUGAUGAAAUAAAAAAAAUUGGUGGUGAAAGAAUAUUUUUAUGGACUCCUAGAUUGGUGCCAUUUUUCAGUGUGUCAUGCUUGGGGGGUAUGGUUGCAGAUGAGACUAUAGGGAGGGGGUUCUUGUUAAAUGGGAAAACCUACAUGACA